rnacentral:rRNA from 1 species
UACGUAGGGGGCUAGCGUUGUCCGGAAUCAUUGGGCGUAAAGAGCGUGUAGGCGGCUCGGUAAGUCCGCUGUGAAAGUCCAGGGCUCAACCCUGGAAUGCCAGUGGAAACUGUCGAGCUAGAGCCCGGGAGAGGCGAGUGGAAUUCCUGGUGUAGCGGUGAAAUGCGCAGAUAUCAGGAGGAACACCGGUGGCGAAGGCGGCUCGCUGGGACGGUACUGACGCUGAGACGCGAAAGCGUGGGGAGCAAACAGG